rnacentral:lncRNA from 1 species
AGCAAUAUGCAGUGCCCUAUCCAGUAUCAUGCCAAGUGCUCGAGGUGACUCGUCUUCCACCGCACCUUCUGAGACAUCCCCGUUUGGGACCUCACAGCGCUAGGAAGCUCUCCUGACACCCAGCGCCUACAGAGUUGGGGGCAGGUCCCACCUCUCCCUCGUACCCUCCAUCCCUGCCCACUGGGAGCCAGCUCUAUGCUGCUGCAGAAGAAUCAGGCACCCGGGGGAAAGAAGAGAGAUUAAAAUUUUGAGAACAGCUGCAAGUGAAACAGUGAGCACCACAGGGAUGAGUGCAAAGAAGCUGCCAGCGCUCAGUUCUGCUCUCCAUCACGUCCUGUACAACUCUGCUCACCUCAGAGGUGCUCAGCUAACAGAAAUGACCACAUGUCUACCCCCUGUACAGAAUAACCUCGAACAACCUAACCAAAGAAAACAAUAUUUCUUUAGAUAAGAAGGCAGGGGAACAAGCCAGUGAAGAAUGGGGAAAAAAUAAAACAUGUAUAAAACAAGCA